AUNGUAAANNUGAGGCGCGAGGGCUGUCGCUGACUUUUCGUCGUGCACGCCCAAGUGCUCUCAAACAAUCCAUCUCACCCUGUGCACCACCGCGUGGGUCCCCCUUCUGGCUCGUCCAGAAGGGAGGCUUGCGUUUUCACACAAACUCGAUACGGUGUAGAAUGUCUCCUGCGAUAACACGCAAUUAAUACAACUUUCAACAACGGAUCUCUUGGCUCUCGCAUCGAUGAAGAACGCAGCGAAAUGCGAUACGUAAUGUGAAUUGCAGAAUUCAGUGAAUCAUCGAAUCUUUGAACGCACCUUGCGCCCCUUGGCAUUCCGAGGGGCACACCCGUUUGAGUGUCGUGAAAUUCUCAAAAACCUUUCUUUUGAAAGGGUUUUGGACUUGGAGGCUUUUUGCUGGCUUUUAAGCGAGCUCCUCCCAAAUAAAUUAGUGGGGUCCGCUUUGCCGAUCCUUGACGUGAUAAGAUGUUUUCUACGUCUCGGGUUUGGCGAUGCCUCUUGGGCACCUGCUUCUAACCGUCCGAUGGACAAUGAUGGCGUCCCGGUCACCACCGUUUUWUCGGUUGGGAGGCUUGGCCCACCAAAAAAACCUUGACCUCAAAUCGGGUGAGACUACCCGCUGAACUUAAGCAUAUCAAUAAGCGGANGAAAAGAAACUAACAAGGAUUCCCCUAGUAACUGCGAGUGAAGCGGGAAAAGCUCAAANUUAAAAUCUGGUGGUCUUUGNNNAUCCNAGUUGUAAUUUAGA
rnacentral:rRNA from 1 species